rnacentral:rRNA from 1 species
AGAAUCAACGCUGGCGGCGUGCCUAACACAUGCAAGUCGCACGAGAAAGGGAGUUCGCUCCUGAGUAAAGUGGCGCACGGGUGAGUAACACGUGAAUGAUCUACCUCUGAAUGGGGAAUAACUGAGAGAAAUCUUAGCUAAUACCGCAUAAUACCUACGGGUCAAAGCAGUAAUGCGUUUGGAGAGGAGUUCGCGGUCGAUUAGUUAGUUGGCGGGGUAAUGGCCCACCAAGACGAUGAUCGAUAUCCGGCCUGAGAGGGCGCACGGACACACUGGAACUGAAACACGGUCCAGACUCCUACGGAGGCAGCAGUGGGGAAUUUUGCGCAAUGGGGGAAACCCUGACGCAGCAACGCCGCGUGGAGGAUGAAAUAUCUUGGUAUGUAAACUCCUUUCGAUGGGAAGAUAAUGACGGUACCCAUAGAAGAAGCCCGGCUAACUUCGCGCCAGCCAGCCGC